rnacentral:rRNA from 1 species
UACGAAGGGGGCUAGCGUUGCUCGGAAUGACUGGGCGUAAAGGGCGCGUAGGCGGUUUGUACAGUCGGAUGUGAAAUUCCUGGGCUUAACCUGGGGGCUGCAUUCGAUACGUGCAGGCUCGAGUGUGGAAGAGGGUUGUGGAAUUCCCAGUGUAGAGGUGAAAUUCGUAGAUAUUGGGAAGAACACCGGUGGCGAAGGCGGCAACCUGGUCCAUGACUGACGCUGAGGCGCGAAAGCGUGGGGAGCAAACAG